rnacentral:rRNA from 1 species
CCAGACAACUAGGAUGUUGGCUUAGAAGCAGCCAUCAUUUAAAGAGUGCGUAAUAGCUCACUAGUCGAGUGACACUGCGCCGAAAAUGUACCGGGGCUAAACAUAUUACCGAAGCUGUGGAUUGUCCUUUGGACAAUGGUAGGAGAGCGUUCUAAGGGCGUUGAAGCAUGAUCGUAAGGACAUGUGGAGCGCUUAGAAGUGAGAAUGCCGGUGUGAGUAGCGAAAGACGGGUGAGAAUCCCGUCCACCGAUUGACUAAGGUUUCCAGAGGAAGGCUCGUCCGCUCUGGGUUAGUCGGGUCCUAAGCUGAGGCCGACAGGCGUAGGCGAUGGAUAACAGGUUGAUAUUCCUGUACCACCUAUAAUCGUUUUAAUCGAUGGGGGGACGCAGUAGGAUAGGCGAAGCGUGCGAU